rnacentral:lncRNA from 1 species
UGUAAAAAAAAACCUAUUUAAUAUAAGAAAAAAUUAUAGGUUAGCAAAAAUUAAGCUACUUUUUUUUUUAACACUAGUUUAAAAUAGUAAAGUCCUUGAAUUAUUAUUAUAUAUUGUAAUUACUAUUUUAAAGUCCUGGCUCAACGUCCCGUGAGCUUAGCUCAGUUGGUAGGGACAUCACAUUAUAUAUGCAGGAGCUAGAGUUCGAAAACAUUUCACUUAUUUACCUAUUAAUUUAAAGUGAAAUUUCUAACCACUAGACUACUUGACAAAAAAAAAGUCCUAGAUCAACUGACAAAAAGUGCCGAAAUUAUUAGUUGGACAUCAUGACCGGAAUUCAAAACUCGACUCCUCCACUUAUAUAUGUGUGAGCUUAUAAUAACUUUGUCAUUUUCGUGUAUCUACCCAAAAAAAUAUACUAUAUUUCAAAGGAUCUCUAGAUGACUCUCUUAGGCUCUG